rnacentral:rRNA from 1 species
UACGUAGGGUGCAAGCGUUGUCCGGAAUUAUUGGGCGUAAAGAGCUCGUAGGCGGUCUGUCGCGUCUGCUGUGAAAACUCGGGGCUUAACCCCGGGCCUGCAGUGGGUACGGGCAGACUAGAGUGCGGUAGGGGAGACUGGAAUUCCUGGUGUAGCGGUGAAAUGCGCAGAUAUCUGGAGGAACACCGGUGGCGAAGGCGGCAUCCUGGACCAUUACUGACACUGAAAAGCGAAAGCCAGGGGAGCAAACGGG